rnacentral:rRNA from 1 species
UACGUAGGGGGCAAGCGUUGUCCGGAAUCAUUGGGCGUAAAGCGCGCGUAGGCGGCCCGAUAAGUCUGCUGUGAAAGUCCAGGGCUCAACCCUGGAAUGCCGGUGGAUACUGUCGGGCUAGAGUUCGGAAGAGGCAAGUGGAAUUCCUGGUGUAGCGGUGGAAUGCGCAGAUAUCAGGAGGAACACCUAUAGCGAAGGCAGCUUGCUGGGACGACACUGACGCUGAGGCGCGAAAGCGUGGGGAGCGAACGGG